UCAUUGGCCAACUCCUGAGUGGUAGGGACUGUCUGGCAGCAGCAGUGGCCUGAUCUGCAUGCCCCUCACAGUGAUGGUGGGGUUUCCUGGCACAAAGAGACCUGCCUCUAUGAUCUCAUAGAUGCCAGAGUUUUGGAUCAUCCACAUGCUUGGGUUUUCCCCACUCCAGCUGACUUCCACAUCAAUGAAGCAUUCUGUGAGGACUGUAGUUCCCUGAAGCAGGAUGCUUCCUGUUGAAGAACUGUUCUCCAUGCAGUGGCAUCCAGCUAUACUUCUCACCACCUAGGGGAAAACACAGUGGCAGUACACCUCUUCACUGUCAUCUCACUGCUGAAUAAAAUCCAUUCUGCUUGACACAAUGGAGCACAAAACGGGAAGCUCCCUCCUUGCACAAAAAUCUUCUCGGCACGAAAUCCUGCUUUUGUGUGCAGCUGAACUUGCCUCCUUGCCUUGGAAAGAGAGUACAUGUGGUGUGGUGUGCAGGCAGGCCUAGAGGUUAGCUGCAGGAGCAGAUGUAACCCUCCAAUUUCUGCUAGGCAGCUAGUCUUCCACAGUGGUUCACCCCUGCUUUGAUGGUUACCAGGAGUAGAUGGAGCCUUCAGAGCAGGAAAGCAGCUACUUUUCUUCCAUGUCUUCUGCCAAAGCAUGUCUUCUGUCAGCAAUCCUCAUCAACGAAUCCCUCCUGUGUUUUCUCCAAGCAGUGAGCAAGAAAAUGAACGAUCCAAAAACAGCUAGGAAGGACUGGAGAAAGAAGUGUAUUCCUGGGCACAUUUGCAUUUGCUGAUGUGCAGAUGGGUGCUUGAAAUCUAUAACUGUGUGUAGUAUGAAUUUUGAAAAAUGAGAAAUAAUCUUAAGAGUUGGAGGAAAAGGGUGGCUAGUCCCCACAAAUGAGUACACACCUGUUUGGUAGAGGAGAGCUGUAACACAUUUGUUCCCUGACAUUUUCCUCUGCAAAUUUUUAUAUUUCUUAAUCAGUGGACAUUCUCUAUUUUUGAUAUUUACCAUGAAUUGUGGCAGCAGACUCAAUGACAUAUCAGUGGGCUCUUGUCUGCCUGGUGUUCACCUUGCAGUGUCAUGCCAUGCUUCUGAGGGCGGUUCCACGCAGCCCUUUAACCCGGGAGGAAUUCGAUUUUAAACACACGAAUGCACCCAUGUUGGAGUCUGCACAUGCCCCAGAAAGUGCAUUCUUUUUUUUCUUUUCUUUUUUUUUGGGGGGGGG